rnacentral:rRNA from 1 species
CCCCUAGAUGUUCUGGGCCGCACGCGCGCUACACUGAACAGUUCAACAAGUCUUAACCUUGGCCGAUAGGUCUGGGUAAUCUUUGAACGCUGUUCGUGAUUGGGAUAGACCUUUGCAAUUAUGGGUCUUCAACGAGGAAUUCCUAGUAAACGCAAGUCAUCGGCUUGCAUUGAUUACGUCCCUGCCCUUUGUACACACCGCCCGUCGCACCUACCGAUUGAAUGGUCCGGUGAAAUCUCGGGACGGCGGCUUGGUCGCUUGCGUCCGACUGCUGAAACUUGAUUAAACCAUNUNAUUUAGNGGAAGGUGAANUCGUANCA